rnacentral:rRNA from 1 species
GACGAACGCUGGCGGCGUGCUUAACACAUGCAAGUCGAACGGUGAAAGCGGAGCUUGCUCCGCUGGAUCAGUGGCGAACGGGUGAGUAACACGUGGGCAACCUGCCCUUCACUUCGGGAUAACUCCGGGAAACCGGGGCUAAUACCGGAUAUGACCUCUGCGGGCAUCCGCGGAGGUGGAAAGUUUUUCGGUGAAGGAUGGGCCCGCGGCCUAUCAGCUUGUUGGUGGGGUAGUGGCUCACCAAGGCGACGACGGGUAGCCGGCCUGAGAGGGCGACCGGCCACCCUGGGACUGAGAUACGGCCCAGACGCCUACGGGAGGAAGCAGUGGGGAAUAUUGCACAAUGGGCGCAAGCCUGAUGCAGCGACGCCGCGUGAGGGAUGACGGCCUUCGGGUUGUAAACCUCUUUCAGCACCGACGAAGCGCAAGUGACGGUAGGUGCAGAAGAAGGACCGGCCAACUACGUGCCAGCCGCCGCCGUAA